rnacentral:rRNA from 1 species
GCGCGAAAACUUUACAAUGCUGGCAACAGCGAUAAGGGAACCUCGAGUGCCAGGUUACAAAUCUGGCUGUCGAGAUGCCUAAAAAGCAUUUCAUAGCAAGGGCCGGGCAAGACCGGUGCCAGCCGCCGCGGUAACACCGGCGGCUCGAGUGGUAACCGGUAUUAUUGGGUCUAAAGGGUCUGUAGCCGGCCGGAUAAGUCUCUUGAGAAAUCUGGCAGCUUAACUUUCAGGCUUUCAGGAGAUACUGUCUGGCUCGAGGCCGGGAGAGGUGAGAGGUACUUCAGGGGUAGGGGUGAAAUCUUGUAAUCCUUGAAGGACCACCAGUGGCGAAGGCGUCUCACCAGAACGGACCUGACGGCAAGGGACGAAAGCUAGGGGCACGAACC